AGAUUUAACCUGCCCGCUGAAUUAUUUGAAUGGCCGCGGUAUUUUGACCGUGCAAAGGUAGCAUAAUAAUUAGCUUUUUGAUUGGAAGCUGGAAUGAAUGGUUGGACGAGAAAAUUUCUGUCUCUUUUUAAUUUUUGUAAAAUUUAAUUUUUGAGUUAGAAAGCUAAAAUUUUUGUGAAAGACGAGAAGACCCCAUAGAGUUUAAUAUAUUUAUUUAUUUUUUCUAUAAGGAAUUAUUUUAGAUUAGGUGAUGUAAUAUAUUUUGUUGGGGUGACAGGAAGAUUUAAUUAACUCUUUUUAUUUUAUACAUUAAUUAUUGGAUAAUUGAUCCGUUAUUUGACGAUUAUAAGAUUAAAUUACCUUGGGGAUAACAGCGUAAUCUUUUUAGAGAGUUCUUAUUGAAAUGAAGGGUUGCGACCUCGAUGUUGGAUUAAAAUUAAUUUUUGGUGCAGUAGCUAAAAUAUUGAGUCUGUUCGACUUUUGAAAUUUUACAUGAUCUGAGUUUAAACCGGUGUGAGCCAGGUUGGUUUCUAUCUUUAUUAAUUUAAAAUAUUUUAGUACGAAAGGACCAA
rnacentral:rRNA from 1 species